AGUUGAUUAUUAUUACCCCGAUUUAAAUUGGAGCGUGCAGAUGUACAUGGUAAUCAUCCUACCCCUACUGAUAUUGAUUUGCCAAGUGAGAGAAUUGAAAUACUUGGUGCCCUUUUCCAUGCUUGCCAAUAUCUUCUUGGUUAUUUCAUUCGCCAUCACGUUGUACUAUAUGUUCAACGGUUCCUUUACAAUGGAAGGCAAAAAUCUUAUGGCUCCUAUUUCGCGAAUUCCGCUCUUCCUUAGCACCGUCGUUUUCGCUAUGGAGGGAAUUGGUCUGGUUAUGCCGGUCGAAAACAACAUGAAAAAACCCCAUCAUUUCUUGGGAUGUCCCGGUGUGUUAAAUACUGCCAUGGCUACUGUCGUUGUCCUCUAUGGCGUCAUUGGAUUCUUCGGAUACUUGAAGUAUGGAGAAGCAACAGAAGGCAGCAUCACAUACAACUUACCAGUUGAUGAAAUGUUCGGUAUCAAACAAAGAGGAAAGUCUUAUUUUUAACGUUGCUGAUGCGUGCUGAUGUCGGGGAAAAAUUUUUUUGGACUUGAAAAGACUUGCCCAAGUGGUAAAAUGUUUAGUGGCGUUAGCCAUCUUUUUCACCUACAGUCUUCAGUUCUACGUUGCUUACUCGAUAACUUGGGGAAUAACAGGCAAACAUAUUUCAACGAAAUUUCAUAAUUUAACUCAAAUUGUACUAAGAACUCUCUUAGUUUCUAUGACAGUUGGUGUAGCUGCAUUAGUGCCGGACUUAGAACCAAUCAUUGGCUUAGUCGGAUCCAUUUGCCUUUCCAUGCUUGGAAUAUUCAUCCCAGCUGUUGUUGACACUGUCAUUUCCUGGGAAGGUGAGCUUGGAACGCUAAAAUGGAAACUUUGGAAGAACAUAGCUCUCAUGCUUUUUGCCUUAUUUGCGCUCAUAUCGGGUUCAUACGAAAGUAUAUUGGGACUGAUGAAGUGAAAAACUUAUAAUAAAACAGAAAAGACAGUAAUGGCUCCUUCUACUGUGUAAAAGAGACAAAAAAGACUC